UUACUUUUGUAGAAGCCUGAACCCCCUCAUACGUGGGGGUACAUACAUAUCUCCUUUUCAGUUGGAGUGUAUGUCAUGGUUUUGUAACUUUGCUAUUGGUAUUCCACAUCAUAACAUCAUGGCCAAAAGAGAAGAACUACGUAUCCCAGAGGACCUCACGGUCAGAGAAGGAAGAUACAUCACGGAAGAUACGUCAUCUGGUUGUGCGUGGUCUUUUUCACUUUUCGCUUGCUGCCAGGGAGAGGAGUGGGUGUGUGCUUUCCAAGCCAUGCGCCUUCAUCAAGUUAGAGGCUGAUCUUCUAGAGAGGAGCUCUGUGGAGAAGGACUUGAAUAUCCUAGUGGACAGCAGGUUGACCAUGAGCCAGAAGUGUGCCCCUGUGGCCAAGAAGGUCAAAGAUAUCCUGGGGAACAAUAAAAGAAGUGUGGCCAGAAGGUUGAGGGAAAUGAUCCUCCCACUCUACCCUGCCGCGCAGAGUGCACGUCUGGACUACUGCAUCCAUUUCUGGGCUCCUCAGUUCAAGAAAGACAGUGAACUUCUAGACAGAGUCCAGCAGAGAACCACAACAAUAUUUAGUGGCCUGGAACAUCUCUCUUGUGAGGAAAGUUGUUGCAAUUGGACUGAAGCGAUUGCUGAUAGGAGAACAGACUGACAGAAGAACUCACUGAGAGCAGCUCUGUGGAGAAGGACUCGGGGGUCCUGAUGAAUGAAAAGCUGGACACAAGCUAUCAGUGUGCACUUGCAGCCCAGAAAGACAACUAUAUCCUGGGCUGUAUCAAAAGAGGAGUGAGCCAGCAGAGUGAGGGAGAGGAUUGUCCCCCUCUACUCUGCCUUUGUGAUGUCCCACCUGGAGUACUGUGUGCAUGCCUGGGGCCCCUACUACAAGAACAAUGGGGGGCUGUUGGCGUGGGUCCAGAGAAUGGCCAUUGAGAUGAUCAGAGGCCUGGAGCACCCGUCCUGUGAAGAAAGGUUGAGGGAGUGGGGCUUGUUUAGCUUGGGGAAGAGAGGACUAUGGGGAGAUCUCAUUACGGUCUUCCAGUACCUGAAGGGAGCUAACAAGCAGUCUUCUUUCACAGUCUGAUAGUGACAAGACAAGGGGGAAUGCCUAGAAACUAAAUGAGAGUAGAUUUAGGUUAGCUUAUAGGAAGAAAUUUUUUACUCAGAGGAUUGUGAAGUGUUGGAAACAUAUGUUGCCCAGAAGGGUUAUGGAUGCCCCAUCCCUGGAGGUAUUGAAGGCCAGAUUGGCUACCGCCCUGGGUAACCUUAACUGGUGGCUGGCAGGGUUGUCAACCUAAGCCAUUCCAUGAUUCUAUGAUCCUAUGAAAGGCCAAGAGACCUUGGACUAUUAAGCCUGAAUAAGAGAAGACUGAGGGAGGAUCUUAUCAAUGCUUUAAAUAUCUACAGGGCAGGAGUCAAGUGGAUGGGGCCAGGCUCCUUUUGGCAAUGCCCAGUGACAGGACAAUGGGCAAUGGGCACAGACUAAAACACAGGAAGUUCCAUCUGAACAUGAGAAAAAACAACUUUUUUUGGAGGGUGACAGAGCACUGGAAAAGCUGCCCAGAGAAGUUUUGGAGCCUCCUUUUAUAGAGAUACUCAGAAGUCUCCCAAAUGCUUUCCUGUGUAAUUACCUCUAGGCAACAUGCUUUAGCGGAGGUGUUGGUCUAGAUUAUCUCCAAAGAUCCCUUCUAACCCCUAUGGUUCUGUGAUUUUGAGAUUUUUAGGCAUUGGCAAAGUACUAAUAGUGAAGGACAAAUUUUCAUAGUGAGAAUUCUGGAAAGCUGGAGCAAAUUAUUGAGAAUGUAUUUUCUUUGUAUAAAAUAUUUAGAUGUCCCUUAUCUUUCAAAUCAUUGUUGCUUGACAGUCACUGUACAGUGAUUUAAAUAAAUAUGACAAACUGCGCUAUUACCCACACAGUAGGGAUAACACAGUUGGAGGUAUAAUUCCUCCAUCAUAUAUUCUAGCUCAAAGGUUGGUGUGCAGAAUUAACUCCAGUUACAUAUACAAAUCUGGAGCAUGACCUUGUGUGACUGAGGUGCAGGCUAUAUCAUUCUUUGAUUAUCCCUGCAUCAGAAAUAGUAACUUCAGGAAAUUCUGUAAGGUUGAGAGACAGCAAUGAUGACUUGUUUAACACUCAUAACAUUCAGCAGGGCUGGUCUGGAAGACCAUCAAAAUACAUAAAUAAGUGAUAACCUUCAAAAGAGAUGUUACGCAUUUCUGAACAUAAGGUAACAGGAUGUGUAACUAUAAAAUUCUUCUUGUUUAGGAUUGUGAGAGAUGAUACAGUUUUAGGUGCUGGAAUGAAAAGGCUUUGACAUAAGCAGAGAAUGAUUUUGAGGGAGAUAAGGUGUCUUUCACCUGUUUUUAUUAAACUGUGAAAUUAUUUACUAUUGUAUAUAGGAAAGACUGGUAGUGGGGGUGUGGUUUGUAUGGGUGGCAGAGGGAAAACCAAUUUCAGAGGGGAGGAAGCAGGAGGAGGCAGUCCAUGGCAGAGGAUACAGUCACUGUAGUCCAGGGAGAGCCCGCACUGGCACAGAUUUUUCCUGACAAGAGCUGAAAUCCUAACAAAAACUCAGAAGGGAAUAGAUUCCACAGCCCCCCCCCCCCCCCCUCCCCCCGCCAAGGAACUACAGCUUAUGGAUAACUGACUAACCCACAAUGGAACAGGGAAAAUGUGUUAGGAAAUUGGAAAUAAGUCUUGUUUAAUGCUUUUUUUUUUUUUUUUUUUUUUUUCCUGCUACCAGGGAAAGGUCACAAAGUUGAUCAGAGGGCUGGAACAUUUCCCCUGUAAGGACAGGCUGAGAAAGCUGAGGUUGUUCAGUCUGGAGAAGAGAGGAGGGCCUACAGAAAUUCUGGGGUGAGAUAUUUUAUAAGGGCGUGUAGCAACAGGAUGUAGGAAAAUGGCUAUAAAAUGGAAGAGAGUAGAUUUAGACUAGUCAUAAGGAAGAAUAUAAGAAAUUAUAAGGAAGAAGUUUUUCUCUGUGAGAGUAAUGAGACACUGGAACAGGUUGCUCAGAGACAUUGUGGGUGUCCCCUCCCAGGAGGUGUUCAAGGCCACGCUAGAUGGGGCUUUGAGCAACCUGGUCUAGCAGGAGGUGUCCUUGUCCAUGGCAAGGGUUAGAACAACACAUUCUCUAAGGUCCCUUCCAACACAUACCAUUCUGUGAUUCUAUGAAAAUUAGUAAUGACAUUUUUAUUUUACUUGGCAACAAAUUCACCACAUCAAGAUGUUUUGCCUGCAGUGGUAGUUAGAAAGCAAUCUACCUGUCUUAAUCUUGAUCCUUCUUGUUCUUUCUGCUUUCUAAUCCCAUCCUACUGCAGGAGGAAUUAAGUAAGCAGCUAAGUAAGCAUUUGGCUUUUAGCCAAGUCUAACCCAUCUUGUUGCUCUUAAGAAUUUCUGCCUUGUUCUUGCCUCCUAAAUAUUUAGUCAUCAGGUCCAGUUUCCACCUUGGACAUGUCAAUAUUCCUGCAAAGUACAACUAAUUUUGUAAGUAAGUGUAAAUAAGUUCAAAGUGAUCUUGAAAAUUUAAACUCAAAGGUACUUUUUUCUUUUUCUUUUUCUUUUUUAUUUUAAUAGCAGAUAGGCUAGGCUAUGCUCUAUGCUUGCCUAGAAGAUUUUAUCAGGAUUUAGAAACAUUAGAGACACUUCAACCCACUUUCUCCUCUUCCUUUUGUGACACACUUUAGUUUUUGUCACAUAUAAAAUGGAAUAAAAAUCAUCAAUAGUACUAAAAUGAAUGUCUGUCUAAGAAUUACCAUUUCUGAUGCAGUUGAUGUAGCACAUGUAAAAAGUAUAUUUUGCUUUGGUCUGAUGGAAAUGUGCAUCUGAUUUAGAAUAAUUUGUCUUGCUACUUGAGCAAACAAAAUGUAAUUAAGUUGCCUAUAACAGCUAAGAAUAAUAGCUUCUCAUUAAUAUUGUUACCUGGGUGUUAAAAAACCUAAAGCAAGGCAAAUGUAAUGAAUUUAGCAAGUUAACAGAAUUGCCUUUUUUUUUUUUUAAGCAAUCUUUUCAUGCCACUGUAUUUGAGAUGGUGUCAGCAUUGCUAUUAUAAAUAAUUUAAGCAUUUAUAACUCAGUAAGAGAAGAGCACUAGUUCAGUCACAUUCUAAAUGAGUUAUUUGCUCAAUAUGUCUUCAAGGCUUAAGGGAACAUAAGAUAAAACUUACAUUUUCCUCUAGGGGCAUUAGUAAUUAAGCUAGAUAUUCAACUUUAACCAGACAAUUAAAAAAGGUUCCUCAGUGCUACUUUGAAUGCAAAGUUUGUCUAAACAUGAUGUACUUACAUGCAGGAUAGGAUGAUUUUGGGAGGUAUUCCAAGAACAGAAACAGCAGUGACUAUCACUGCUUGUCAAAUAAUGAAUAAUAAGAGUUGUCCUGCAGAGGACAAGUGAGAGGUCAGAGGAAGAAGAUAGCUUUUUUUCUUUUGUUAACGGAUGGUGCAAAAAUUCUAUGUUACCAUUCGGAUGGAGAAAAUAUAAGAUAUUGUUCUAGGCCCCUUUCCAAAAAAGCACUUAUACUUUCAUUUGUGUGGUAGUGAACAGUCUUGCUGAUUUCAGCCACUUUUCACAUGGCUAAAUUGAAGCACACACUUACAGAACUGUUGGAUUGUUGCUGAGACAGAUGCAUACUUAGGAAGCAAAAGAGCAGUAAGGUUGAAAUUAGUAAUUCAGUCACAACACUAGCAUCAUUCUCAUGAUGCAUAAAAGCAUUAUUUUUCAACAUUCACUUCUCUUUCUGAAGGACUGGAAACAAAUAGCAGGUAAUAAUCAGAACAGUUUAAAUCUGCAGUUUAGUAAUUCAAAUCUUAUAUGAUAAUUUUUUGCAUUCUCACUCUUGUGCCAAAUUAAAAGUUUUGAAAUAGAAUUAAUGGAGUUAGAAUUCACAUGAGAAUUUGUUAAUUGCUGUGAUAAAAAUAAUGAGAUUGACAGGCUUGAGAACUGGGCCCUAAUGAGGUUCAACAAGGGCAAGUGUAAGGACUUGGGGGGUCCUGGUGGAUGAGAAGCUGGACAUGAGCCAAUAGUAUGCAUAUGCAGCCCAGAGGGCCAACUGUAUUCGGGGCUGCAUUAAAAAAGGAGUGGCCAGAAGGGAUAGGGAGGUAAUUGUCCCCUUCUACUCAGCUCUUGUGAGACUGCCUGAACCCAUCUUUGGCUUUGGCUUUGGCUCAAAGCUUGCUUUCUGAGGCAUUUCUUGUGAUAAGACUCUUACUUAUCUAGGAGAUGAGAGGUGCUGUGUGGCAGUGGGCAUCACUGUGUGGACUAUUUUACAUUUGAAAACAUUUCUUUGGAGCUGUUUGCCUUCUGAAGAGAAUGCUCAGGACUGUUUUCUGGCGGAAGAUCUGUCCUGUGACCAAAUAACUCCAGAUUGCUAUGGCAGACUGGGGGGAUGAUACCAUUGUAUCCUGUGAAGGCAAGAAAUAAGGGGGUGCCUCCCUGCUCCCUCUUGUCUGCUGGCAAGGCCCAGAAGAUGGGAACAAAAGGAGUUCCUGCUGUGAUCCAAAAGCCAGCAGCUGUCACUACAAAAGGAGCUGACUAGGCCACUUUGGACUUAUAAAUAAGCUUGUACUGACAUUGGAAAGAGUCGUUGUCAUCGUCGCUGUCAUUAUCGUCAAAUGAACAACAACCCCUGAUGACCCAUCACUACUGAAGAUCAACAUCUGAACUACGAGCAGUGCUGGAAUCCAUGGUGGUGACUAUCUCUUUUGCUUUCUACAAAGACUCCUUGCUUUUAUUUUUUAUCUUUCCUAUCGCCCAUCUUCUCUUCCCCAUCUCCCUAAAUGACUAGGAUUUGUGAUAAACUGGUUGGGUUAACAUUUGACUCUCUUUGUCUUAAUCUCCGCAUUGGGUAUACAUAUACUAAAAGAACCUCUUCUUCCUCCUUUAAAUUAUAGCUAGACAGAGGCCCCAUCUGGAGUACUGCAUCCAUGUGUGAGGCCCCCAGCACAAGAAAGACGCAGAGCUCUUGGAACAGGUCCAGAGGAGGACCACUAAGAUGAUCAGAGGGCUGGAGCACCUAUGAAGAAAAGUUGAGGGAACUGGGCUUGUUUAGCUUGGAGAAGAGAAGGCUCCAGGGAGACCUCCCUGUGGCCUUCCAGUACUUAAAGGGAGAGUAUAAACAGGAGGGGGUACAACUGUUUACAUGGGUCGAUAGUGACAUGACAAGGGCAAUAGUUUUAAACUAAUACAGGGGGACUUUAGGUUAAAUAUUAGGAGGAAGUUUUUCACUCAGAGGGUGGUGAUGCACUGGAACAGGUUGCCCAAGGAGGUAGUGGAUGCCCCAUCUCUGGAGGCAUUCAAGGCAAGGAUAAGUGUGCCUCUGGUCUAGUCAUUGGUGACCUUGCCCAUGGCAGGGGGGAUGAAGCUAGAUGAUCUUUGAGGUCUUUUUCAAUCUAGGCCGAUCUGUGAUUCUAUGUUUUGCAGUAGAUGAGCUACUGCUGGACAAUUUCUGCAUGUAUCAUUUUUAAAAGAAUUUACACUGAUUACAUCAGAACAUUCAGUCUUUCUUGACAGUCUUUUUUCUUGUUAUUGGCAGGGCAGUAAUUACUACAUAAAAAUAUGUAUGUAGGAACAGAGAACACUUUAAGAACUUUGUUAUGAGGUAAAUACUAGGCAAAAAAUAUAAAAGGAGAAUUUGUAAUGAGCACAUCCGAUAAUACACAAAAAGUAUAUUUUCUUCUUUUUUUUUCCUCCCUCUCCUAAUGAGGUUCUGAAUAAAAUCAUUUAAAAAUGAUCCUUCCUUUUGUGUUAAGAAAGAGAGCUUCUUCUAUCGCAUGUCCAUAUCACUUGAAGUACUACUCUAGGUAUUCAAAUGAUUCCAAUCCCUUGAAAUCAGCAUGAGCAGAUAGAAGGCAAACCUGAUGAAGAGCUCGUUAGGCAAUCUCAGAAAAGAUUUUGAAGUGAUAAACUAUUUUUGCUGUUUUCACAAAUUUUCAGGUAUAAAGUCCUAGGUUCUGUUUCACAUGGAGCAGACAAAUCACCUGGGAAGCUGAUGCCCUUUGAUGAAGAGAAAGCCUCUAAGACUUUCUUUAACUCUGCAUCAAUUCAUAGGAAAGAAGUUUUGGAACCAUGGCUCAUAGAGCUUUUAACCUUUUGUGGAGACUGCCUGAUGAGGUUCUGCACAGAUGCCUUUAUGGAAUGAGAGAAGUUCUAUGAGAGAGAGAAGAACAUUUCAGCUUCUUGUGCUGCCCUGCCAGUGAGGAGACGGGGGGUGCAAAGAAGCUGAGGUGGGACAGAACCAGGACAGCUGACCCAAAAUGUCCAAAGGAAUAUCCUAUACCAUAUGACAUAGUUCUGACAAUAAAACUGGGAGACUGAGUGAGCUGUGUCAUGCUGAGCUGCCUGCCAGGGUUAAACCACAGCAGUAGUGCACCCAACAGAGGACUGGAAGAGUUUGAGAUUAUGACAGAUUUGACUGGAGUAUGGAGCGUGCUACACCAAAUGCAUAGUUGUUAUACUCUUCAGCUGCUAAUUGGGACAGACUGGUGACUUGUUGGCAAUUUGGUGCCAACCAGGAUGCCAAGACUUCCACUGCUUCCAGCACUUCCAGCAACUCAAAGCUGCUUUGCAUUCAGUUCAUCCCCAGUCUGUACCAG
ensembl:lncRNA